rnacentral:lncRNA from 1 species
GUUUUAAUUGUAUUAAAUAAAACCGACCGUCCCUAGAGCAAGUGGCAAAGGGUUUGGUGAUUGAUACCUAAGGUUCAAAAUUCGAAUUCUAGUUGAUUCACAUUUCCAGCUAAGUUUAUUUUUGAAGAAAAUAAAUGAAGUGGGUAGCGUGUUAUCUAUCUCUAAAAAAAAAACUGCAUUAAAUAAACACGUGAUUUAAAUAUGCAUGAACAAUCCUUCAAAGGUAGAAAUUUGGUUAGGGUGGUAAUACUUGAGCAACUUAGCUUUUAUAUAUAUAAUCUUUCUUUUAUCAGUCCAUACACAUCAAAAAUAUUAUGUAGCUUUAAUUUUUUUCAUUUAUUUAUGCACAUAAGUUAAGAUAUACUAUAAUAAUACAGCAAUAAUUCUUAAAGGACCUUUCCUAUUGUACAUAAAAACAAAAGUUUUUCCUGGUCUGAAGAGUCAUCAAUUAUGUGGUGUUGUCUGUCUGCUUCUUACGUGGGAUUAAUUCCCCUGCUUGUCUGCUUCUUAUGUGGGGUUGGAGCCUGCAGGCUGCAGCUUCUUAAAUCUUACGGGAAGACAGUCUAGCUGAUGUGACUGGAAUGAAUCAAUCGUGAGUUUUCUGCCCUUUGAAGUGCUGCAAGGCCGCAGAGGUACACACAAAUGACAAAGCUCUGACAGAACCGUUUAUAAGUUAUUUGAAUUAUAAACUAUUUUUAAUUUACUAUUUAAUAUUUAAAAAUUUUAUGUUUAUUAUUUAAAAUUUCAAUUUAUUUAUUUUGAUUUUGACCACAGUAAUUUUUUUAAAAAUUUUGAAUGGAUUAUUUAGAUUUAGUUAAUAUAGUUUAUACAUUUUUCUCAACUAUCAAUUCAUUAAAGUAGUUAGCUGAUUUUGAUGCAAAUCAAAUAAAUUGAAAGGUCGAGUAGCUAGAUCAAAACGAUUUAUAAUUCAACAAGUUUUAUAUGUUUUUACCCAAAAUAUUCUCUCAAUCUACAGAUCACUUUUAACAUAUAGUAUAAAUUCAAAUUCUUAAUAAUAUUGCUUUUUUGGGUUUAAAAUCCUAAAAUUAUAACCAACCGUACUUAGGACAAAUGACACAAAGCUUGAUGAUUGAUACUCAAGGUUUCAAGUCCGAGGUAUAAUUGCUUCACAUUUUUAGCUAAAUUUAUUUUUUAAAAAAUUAAUAAUAAACAAAGCAGAUAGAAUGUUAUCUUCCAAUCUAAAGAAAAAAAAAAAAAAGGGAGGAAAGAAAUAGGAGUUGAGGAGAAAUAAAGAGAACAAAAAUGAAGAUCUAAUGAGCACAAUAUACAAAAUCGAUUAUCCAUGCAAAUGGAACUGAGGAUGAAAUGUUAUAUAUAUUGAGGUUUUAUUUGUCCUGAGUCAUAAUCCUCAACAAUGACUGAUCCUAACUAGCGCAAUUUAGCUAAAGAUUUAAUGGUUGGUACUCAAGUUUAGUUGUUUUAUAUUUUUAACUGAGUUCAUUUAUAAAAAAUAGAUAAAAUUUUAUAUAUUUUUUAUAUCACAUCUUAUACAUAUGUGAAAGUCCUUACUGUAAUAUUUGUUCCAACUACAAUUUAUAAACACCCAAUUACACAUUCCACAAAAAUAAAAUUAAAAAAAAAUAUUAUUUCAACAUAAAAUUAUCUAAUUAUCCUUAAUUAGAUCUUUGGCUUUGGCCCACAGCAUAAUGAGAUCGGUUUACAAAAGAAACGUUUUCCAUACAUACUCUCUGAUUUAUAACCACUUGUGUGCCCAUAAAUUAUUGUGACAGUGACAAAGGAGCAAAUGCUUUUUCUUUUCUUUUUUUUCUUUUUUUUUUUGGGUUUUUAGCAAUUUUGCAGUGUGGGAAAUAGCUGUGCCCAUACCUUUUGAUCUACAUUGCAUCUGCAUAAUAAUAGUAUUAUUGUUAUUAUUUCAAUUAUUAUGUAUGGUUUGGGGUCCAAGAAUGGAAGAGGAUAAGGUAUGCGGUUUUUAAUGCACCGACCUUAUUAUUAGAGGCAGUACUUUUUUUUCCAAAAAAAAAAAAAACAAAAAAAAAACAUGCAUGAACGAGAACUCGAGUUCCCAUACAUCUCAAACUCGAUCAAUCUCCGAUAACAAAUCCACUACAUUAUAUAUUGGUUACUUUUCAUUUUUGGACCACUAAAAUUAUUAAUUUUUUUUUAAAAAAAAUAGAUAGCAAGCCACCGGUUUUAUAUGUGAAAGAAAAAAAUGAAUGUAACUACAUACGGUGAGGCCACUGGAGCCCAUGCAAAAGUAAAAGACGAGGUAUAAUGAAGAAAACAAAAGGGAGAAAAAAAGAAGGUAAGAGAGAAAACUUCAAAUAUUUUUCCAUAGUUUCACAUAUUUUUACUUUAGUAUUUUGUGGUUUAAAGUGUAUCGAGUUAGUACCAUAUGGUUUCGCACUUUCUCACUUUAGUACCCUGUGAUUUAAAGUGUAUCAAGUUAGUGUUCUGUAGUUUCAUUUUUGUAUCAAGUUAGUACCCUAUGGUUUCAUUUUUUUUUUCUUAUUAUAUAUUUUGGGAUAAUUUUUUGUUAAAUCGGUGACAAAGUUAAAACUAAGGGGUGCUAAAAUGAAUAUUCGAUAAACCUAAAUAGGGUAUCUGAAGUUUUUUGGUAUAUAAUUUAACGAAAUAUUAAACCACAGGGUACUAAAGUGAGAAAAUGCGAUAAUCACAUAAUAUUAAAAUAAGAAAGUACGAAAUCAUAGGGUACUAACUUGAUACACUUUAAACAACACGGUACUAAAGUGAGAAAAUGCGAAACCACAAAUAAGUAUUUGAAGUUUUUCUUCUUUUUUUUUUUUUUAUCAUUUUAGUACUGAUAACUUUUAAACUCUAGAUUGAAAGUGCAUAAUCUGCAUGAAUCUAUACGAGUGUUAAUUACUUAAUUAACAUGCUGCUCUAGCAACUAACGACAAAUAAUAACUGAAACUGUUAGAUGAAAUGAAAUAAUUAUCAUGCAUGCGCAUGUAAUCGAAUUAAGGAUCUCUCUAUUAUCACACUCGCAUGAUGUGGAUAUAAAUAUGACACGCUACUCCCUUGCGUAGAAUACUUGUGUGUAUUAUACAGGUUUCUUGAAUUAUAUAUAUAAUAAUACUUGAUGUACGGAGCAUGUCGUUUUAAGAUAACUUUUGAUCCUCUUGAACUUUUUUAGAUAUCAUCAAAAAGCAAAGUGGAAAAAGAAAACAAAAACAAAAACAAAAGCAAAAACUUUUGUUUUGGAGUACAAACUUAGAUAAUGGUAGUGGAUUUUGUCACGUACAGCUUUCUCAUUCCGUGUGCCUAUAUAUACAACGUUACUAAAUUUUUUGUCAUGAGAUCCAUUAAUUCCUUCAACCAUUUUUAUCUAUUAAAUUAUACUAUUAAAAUUAAAUAAUCACUCACUCAACUCUAGAGGAUCACUAUCAUUCCGACCGCGUAUUUUUUAAUCCAAGAACCGAAAACCUACAAACACCAAUGAUUUGAAACUUUUGAAAAAUAAGAGCUUAAUAUUAUAUAUAGAGAGAGAGAGAGUUGAGCUGGAAUACUAUUAAUAGUAUUUGGGCUCUUUUGCUAUUAUUUUUUUUGUCGUUAGAUCUACACUUUAAUUAAUUCCACCUUUUAAAUCAUAUUAUUCAACCAGUCGCCUACUCAACUCUAAGAGGACCACCACUAAACGUUAGGGCACCACUAUUAUCCUAACCCUAUAAUUUUUCACCCAAGCGUUAAAAUCUCGAUAACAAAAUAGACCAAACACUAUUAAUAGUAUUCCAGCCUAAUUCUAUAAAAUAUAUAGAGAGAGAGAGAGAAAAAAAGAGAGUUGUGCUAGAAUACUAUUAAUAUUAUUAUUUGGAUUUUUUUACGACUAAGUUUAUAAUCCUUAAUUAAAAAAUUAUAGAGUUGGGACGAUAGAAUUCCUGUAGGGUUUAAUGAUACUGCCCCUAGAGUUUAGUAGGUGAUUGAUAGAAUAGCAUAAUCUAACGUGGGGACGGCGGGUUUGUUUAGCGGAUAGAAAAUCUGCUGCUGUAGAGGAGGUGGAGGGCGAAGGCGGAGGAAGAGGAUGCGGUACCAUCCUUGCUAUCGUCGCGGAGGGUCGCAGAGACGAUGGAGGAAGGUCGGAGAGGGAAAAAAAAAAAAGAGGGUCGCGACGCGGCGUUGACGAGGUCGGAGGCGAGGCGUGAGGGGCAGAAGCGAGGCGGGCCGUUUCCGCCUCCACCUUCGCCGCCUUCUUCGGAGAGGAAAAAAAAAACUCAAGAAAAGAAAAGGAGAGAGAGAAAAAGAUAUAAUGGUAUUUUGAUCAGUUUGCUGAAAAUCCGAACCGAUUAUGCAAAAUUGAAAAAGACGGUCUAGUUUUGCAAAAGCUCAAAACUUGUGAAUUUUUUAUGCAAAUUGGCCUAUAUAAAUAUACAUUAAAAAAAAUGUAAACUCCAAUUUACCCUUAUGUGAUUUAGCUCAUUUUUAUUUUACCAUCAUAUAUAUAGUUCAAAAAAUUAAUUAUACUUAAUUAUCUUAUAAUUUAGCUCAUUUUUACUUUACUACUAUAUAAUUCAAAAAGUUAUACAUGUCAAAAAAAUUUACUAUAGUAUCCUUUUUUAUAGUAGAUUUUUUAGAUAAAGGAAGAGAUAAAAUUAUUCAGUAAUUAAGUAUAAUUUUUUAGAUUAUAGAAUGAUAAAAUAAAAGUGAGCUAAACAGUGAGGGAGCAAAUUGAAGUUUGCAUUUAAAGUAAAAGAAAAUAAUAGGUGGGCUCAUAAUUUUACGUAAAAAAGUACUUUUUUGGAAUUAUUAUAAGAAGGAGAAAAGAAGAAGCAACAAAGUUUUCCCAAAAAAAAAUGAAAGAAAAUAGCGAGAAGCAAAGCUGACCAAAUUGUAUUGCUAUAGUUUGACUGUUUUGUGGUGUAUAUAUAUACAUUAUAAAUAGCUAAUAAAACUAAAUAUUCUCUUCCACACAUUAUAAAUAGCUAAUAAAACUAAAUAUUUUCUUCCACGGAAGUGUCAUUUUUGGUUGCUUAUCCUAAACGAUAAGAAGUGCUUAUUUGGCAUUGCCACUAAAUAUAUAUUAUUUUAGUUUUUAAGAUAUAUAUAUAGAGCUAGGCUACUAUACUAUCGGUAGCACGGAGCGCUCCGUGCUAUCAAGUUGUUUUCGAUGAUGUGGCUUCCAAAUCGACGAUCGGCUCCGUUAGAGUUGAUCUACACUAUUGAAAGUAUUUAGAAAACUAAAUUUCAUAAUUUUUCGAUAUCAUUUACUUAUCAAACAAGUAGUCUAAAAUUGAACGGCUGAAAAUAAAAAUUUUAUGAAAAAUGAUGAUAAAAAAUUUAAAUUCAAGAUCAGAUGUACUGAUCUUACUCUAAAUAGUGAAAAGAAUUUUCUAUAAAAUUUUUAUUGCAUUUGGAUUGUUUUACACCGUUAAACUCACAAACACACCACAUCGGCCAUUAAAAUUGUCAAUUUUGAGAUCUUUUGAUCACUAGUAAAUAAUGUUCGAAAAAUCUGAAAUUUAGUUUCCAAUACUUUAAAUAGUGUAGAUCAAGUCUAAUGGAGUCGAUCGUCGAUUUGGAAGCCGCUAUCAUCGAAAACAACUUGGUAGCACGGAGCGCUCCGUGCUACCGAUAGCAUAGUAGCCGGACUCAUAUAGAGCUAGGCUACUAUACUAUCAGGUAGUGUGUAUAUAAAUAUAUAUAGUAUUAUAUAGUUGGACUGGCUACUAUUAGUAGCAAAAUCUCAUCGUUCUACCAGUUUUUUUAGCUUUUGAUCAACUCUUUUCAUUAUUUCUAACCAUUGGAUUAAAUACUUAUAACCAGUGGGACACUCAACCCUAGGGGGCCACUCAACUCAACCGACUAAUAUUAUUCUGACCCUACAAUUUUCAUCCAAGGGUUAAAACUUAAUAGCAAAAUGAGCAUAUUUACUAUUAAUAGUAUUUCAGCCUAAUUCUAUAUAUAUAUAUAUUAUAUAUAUAUAUAUAUAGUUGAACGUAGGUGCAACUGCACGUAACAAUUAUUUUAAUUUAUUUUUAAAUCAAUAAAUUAUUUGUAAAUCAUAUUUAUUAAAAAUUUAGAAUAAAAUAUUUCUAAAUUAUAUGUUACAUUUUAUUAGAAAAUAUCUACAAUAUUAAAUUUAAUUUUAAUAUAAAAUAGAUGGAUAAAUUUGAUAUCAAAAUCAAAAAUUAAAUUUAAUUCAAUUUAAACUAAUUUUAACUUUAUAUUAAAAUAAAUGUAUAGAAGUAUUUUAACAGAUUGAACAUAAUAGUUCAUUUUUAUUUUCAAUAUUUUAACCAAUUGAUUAUAACCGUUUCGUAGAAUUGAAGUUAUAGAAGUUAUAGAUAAUAUGAAUGUUUUUUUUAGCCAAUUAAUCAUAUAUUCGUUCUUAUUUUUGAUAAUUUUUUACAAAUUAAUCAUAUAAUUUGUAUAUCAUAUUAAUUCAAAAAUAUGAUUUACAAUUUAUCAACCAAUCUAUCUUUUAAAUUAUUUCCAUUGUAAUAUAUAGAUAGUAAAUUAAUUUUAAAUUUUGAAUUGAUAUAUAGAUUUGCAGUAGAUAUUCUGACAAAAUUUUGGAUAAGCAUGAAUUUUUUUCUCUUUUAGAGAUAAAAAAUUAAAUUAAAUUUUAAUUAAAAUUAGAUUCAAAAUAAAUAUCUUUCGGUUGGCAAAUAAAUUUGGAUAAGCGUAUCUCUUUUUUUUUAAUUUUAGAGAUAAAUAGAAAUUUAAAAAUUGUUUCCUUACGUUAUUUUUUUACGUAAGGAAAAGGAAUCAAUAUUUUUCAACCAAAAAUGGGUCUGUCGACGGACCUAAAUUUGAAUACGAGCUUUUAUAUAUAUAGUAAAAUGUAUGUAAAAUGCACGUAAUAAUUAUUAGAAGAAGUUAUAAUUUUUUAAUUAUUUUUUUAUUUUAGGCCAUUUUAUAUAAUUGCACAAUAUGUAUCUAAAAAUUUAAAAUAAUAAAUCACGCUAUUAAGAAAGAUAUGCUUUAAAUGAUAAAUAAUUAACAAUAAUCUCUAAUGCAAAAAUUACUUUUGAAAUUAAAUAGAAAAAUAAAAUCGUUAGGAAAUAAAUUUUUGAAAUUAAAUAGAAAAAUAAAUCCGUUAUCUUAAAAGAAAUAUAUUUUGAAAUUAAAUAGAUAAUAUCUAAAAAAGAUAUUUUAAAAUAAAUAGACAAAUAUCUUUUAUAGGAUUUCACACCCGUAAUCUGUUAUAGAAAACUUACUUUUGAAAUUAAAUAGAAAAUUUAUAUUUUAGGAUUUUCACAUCUCUAUCUGUUAUAGAGACACUUCGUAUUAUUACUGUUUUUUUUUCUAUUUUUAUUCUUAUAUUUAAAUUUUUCAUACGGAAGAGAAAAAUGGGCGCUAAUUUUUCCGCUGAAAAAUGGUCUGUCGACAGACCCAAAUUUGAAUAUACGUGCUUUUAUUAUUAUAUAUAAUAUAUAUAUAUAUAUAUAUAUAUAUAUAUAUAUUGAGAGAGAGAGAGAGAGAAUAGGCUGGAAUACUAUUAAAUAGCAUAAAUGACAUGGUGCUAUUAAGUUUUUCCGCCCUUGGAUUAAAAAUGUACGGUUAUGAUGAUGUGGGCCCCCAAGGGUUGAGUUGGUGGUUUGGUUGAAUAGUUAUAAUCUAAUGGGUAAAAAUAAUCAAAGGGAUUAAUCUAACGGCAAAAAAUUGAUAACAGCAAUACUUCCAAGUUGGUAUGCUUAUGGAAGCACGGAGCCCUCCGUGCUUCCAAGUUGUUUUCGAUGUUCGGACUUUCGAAUCGACGAUCGGCUCCGUUAGAGUUGAUCUAGAGUAUUUGAAGUACUAGAAAAUAAAUUUUGUGAUUUUUCAAUUCAUUUGCCUAGUGAUCGGAAGGGUUCAAAAUCAAUAUUUUAACGGCCGUGGUGACCGAUUGCAAGUUUAACGGUGUAGAAAUAUCCAAAUCACAUGAAAUUUUGAUAGAAAUUUUUUAUACCAUAUAAAACAAGAUCAAUAAGUUUAAUCUAAAAUUUUAAUGUCAUAUUCAUAUAUUUUGUAAGAUUUUUAUUUUCAUCCGUUGUGUUUGAGCCACUUCGAUCGCUAGGCAAAUGAUAUCAAAAAAUCGCAAAAUUUUUUUUUUAGUAUACUUCAAACUCUAGAUCAAGUCUAACGGAGCCGAUCGUCGAUUCGAAAGUCGAACAUCGAAAACAAAAGUUGGAGCACGGAGCCUUCCGUGCUUCCAUAAAGCAUCCUAGCCGCCACUCUAUAUAUAUAAUAUAUAUAUAUAAUAUAUAUAUAUAUAUAUUAUAUAUAUAUAUAUACUAUAUAUAAAGAGAGAGAGAGAGAGAGUUUUUGCUAGAAUACUAUCGGUAGUAAACGGCUCGGUUUACUACCGAUUUGUUUUAGAUGAUAGAGCUUCCAAAUUGAUGAUCAGCACCGUUAAAUAUGAUUUAAACUAUUUAAACUAUCUGGAAAUCAAAUUUCACACAUUUUCGAUAUUGUUCUCUUGUCCAUCAAGUGACAGAAAAAUGAAUGGCUGGAAAUGAAUAUCCUUCAAAAAGUGAUGAUACAAUUUUUAUAUUUGAGAUAUAGAGUCUAAAAAUCUUAUCUUUUAAAUAGUUUAAAGAAUUUUUUUACAAAAUUUAGUUGAUUUGAACUCCUUCUAUACCGUUUAAACAAGCAAACGAUCUAUAUCGGCCAUUAAAAUUAUAGAUUUUUGUGACAAUUUGAUCGUUUGGUUAGUGAUGCAAAAACUCAUGAAAUUUGAUUUCUAGAUAAUUUAAAU